rnacentral:rRNA from 1 species
UACGUAGGGUGCGAGCGUUGUCCGGAAUUAUUGGGCGUAAAGAGCUCGUAGGCGGUUUGUCGCGUCGUCUGUGAAAACCCACGGCUCAACUGUGGGCUUGCAGUCGAUACGGGCAGGCUAGAGUUCGGUAGGGGAGACUGGAAUUCCUGGUGUAGCGGUGAAAUGCGCAGAUAUCAGGAGGAACACCGGUGGCGAAGGCGGGUCUCUGGGCCGAUACUGACGCUGAGGAGCGAAAGCGUGGGGAGCGAACAGG